rnacentral:rRNA from 1 species
CCUACGGGUGGCUGCAGUGAGGAAUAUUGGUCAAUGGGCGAGAGCCUGAACCAGCCAAGUCGCGUGAGGGAAGACGGUCCUACGGAUUGUAAACCUCUUUUGUCAGGGAGCAAGGAGCGCCACGAGUGGUGCGGCGAGCGUACCUGAAGAAAAAGCAUCGGCUAACUCCGUGCAAGCAGCCGCGGUAAUACGGAGGAUGCGAGCGUGAUCCGGAUUUAUUGGGUUGAAAGGGUGCGCAGGCGGAAGCGGCAAGUCAGCGGGAAAAUUGCGGGGGUAACUCUCGCCGAGCCGUUGAAACUGCUCUUCGAGAGUGGGCGAGAAGUAUGCGGAAUGCGUGGUGUAGCGGUGAAAUGCAUAGAUAUCACGCAGAACUCCGAUUGCGAAGGCAGCAUACCGGAGCCCAACUGACGCUCAUGCACGAAAGCGUGGGUAUCGAACAGGAUUAGAUACCCUUGUAGUC